rnacentral:rRNA from 1 species
CUACGGGCCGCAGCAGUGGGGAAUAUUGCACAAUGGAGGAAACUCUGAUGCAGCAACGCCGCGUGGAGGAUGACACUUUUCGGAGCGUAAACUCCUUUUAUAUAGGAAGAAGAUGACGGUACUAUAUGAAUAAGCGCCGGCUAACUCCGUGCCAGCAGCCGCGGUAAUACGGAGGGCGCAAGCGUUACUCGGAAUCACUGGGCGUAAAGAGCGUGUAGGCGGAUUAAAAAGUCAGAAGUGAAAUCCUAUAGCUUAACUAUAGAACUGCUUCUGAAACUCUUAAUCUAGAAUAUGGGAGAGGUAGAUGGAAUUUCUGGUGUAGGGGUAAAAUCCGUAGAGAUCAGAAGGAAUACCGAUUGCGAAGGCGAUCUACUGGAACAUUAUUGACGCUGAGACGCGAAAGCGUGGGGAGCAAACAGGAUUAGAUACCCGGGUAGUC